GGGGAAUAUUGCACAAUGGGCGCAAGCCUGAUGCAGCGACGCCGCGUGGGGGAUGACGGCCUUCGGGUUGUAAACUCCUUUCGCUAGGGACGAAGCUUUUUGUGACGGUACCUAGAUAGGAAGCACCGGCUAACUACGUGCCAGCAGCCGCGGUAAUACGUAGGGUGCGAGCGUUGUCCGGAAUUACUGGGCGUAAAGGGCUCGUAGGUGGUUUGUCGCGUCGUCUGUGAAAUUCCGGGGCUUAACUCCGGGCGUGCAGGCGAUACGGGCAUAACUUGAGUACUGUAGGGGUAACUGGAAUUCCUGGUGUAGCGGUGAAAUGCGCAGAUAUCAGGAGGAACACCGAUGGCGAAGGCAGGUUACUGGGCAGUUACUGACGCUGAGGAGCGAAAGCAUGGGUAGCGAACAGGAUUAGAUACCCUGGUAGUCCAUGCCGUAAACGGUGGGCGCUAGGUGUGAGGGUCUUUUCACGACUUUCGUGCCGUAGCUAACGCAUUAAGCGCCCCGCCUGGGGAGUACGGCCGCAAGGCUA
rnacentral:rRNA from 1 species